UAGCCGUAAACGAUACUCGCUAGGCGUCGGCCACGGUGCGACCGUUGUCGGUGCCGUAGGGAAGCCGUGAAGCGAGCCACCUGGGAAGUACGGCCGCAAGGCUGAAACUUAAAGGAAUUGGCGGGGGAGCACCACAACGGGUGGAGCUUGCGGUUUAAUUGGAUUCAACGCCGGAAAUCUUACCGGGACCGACAGCAACAUGAAGGCCAAGCUGAAGACUUUGCCGGAUUAGCUGAGAGGUGGUGCAUGGCGUAGUCGUGU
rnacentral:rRNA from 1 species